AAGUGAAUAUUUCCAAUAAGUGCCUCAUCUUUUUGAGGAUAAUAGGGAAUCAGGUGAAAAUCCUGUACGGUCCCGCCACUGUUAGCGAGGAGCGACUUAUCAUAUAACCACUGUUUUCUGGUCCAAUGGAUUAGGGAAAUGGGAAGGAGAUAGGGAGCAUUGAUUUGCGAGUCAGGAAACCUGCUUGUUGGUACUGAUUGUU
rnacentral:ncRNA from 2 species